UAACAGCUCAAAUUUGAAAUCUGGCUCCUCUGGAGUCCGAAUUGUAAUUUGUAGAAGAUGCUUUGGGUUGUGGGUUCGGCCUAAGUUCCUUGGAACAGGACGUCAUAGAGGGUGAGAAUCCCGUAUGUGGCCGAGGCCCGCGCCUAUGUAAAGCUCUUUCAACGAGUCGAGUUGUUUGGGAAUGCAGCUCAAAAUGGGUGGUAAAUUUCAUCUAAAGCUAAAUAUGGGCCAGAGACCGAUAGCGCACAAGUAGAGUGAUCGAAAGAUGAAAAGCACUUUGGAAAGAGAGUUAAACAGUACGUGAAAUUGUUGAAAGGGAAGCGCUUGCACCCAGACUUGGGCGCUGCUGAUCACCUUGAGGUCUCCUCGAGUGCACUCGACAGCGCACAGGCCAGCAUCGGUUCGGGUGGCUGGAUAAAGGCCGUAGGAACGUAGCUCUCUUCGGGGAGUGUUAUAGCCUACGGUGCCAUGCAGCCCAGCCGGACCGAGGACCGCGCCUUCGGGCUAGGAUGCUGGCGUAAUGGGUGUAAGCGACCCGUCUUGAAACACGGACCAAGGAGUCUAACAUCUAUGCGAGUGUUUGGGUGGUAAACCCAUACGCGGAAUGAAAGUGAACGUAGGUGAGAACCCCCUUUGGGGGCGCAUCAUCGACCGAUCCUGAUGUCUU
rnacentral:rRNA from 1 species